rnacentral:rRNA from 1 species
GAUGAACGCUGGCGGUAUGCUUAACACAUGCAAGUCGAACGGACUCUUCGGAGUUAGUGGCGGACGGGUGAGUAACGCGUGAGAAUCUGGCUUUGGGUUCGGGACAACCACUGGAAACGGUGGCUAAUACCGGAUGUGCCGAGAGGUAAAAGAGAAAUUUCCUGAAGAUGAGCUCGCGUCUGAUUAGCUAGUUGGUGAGGUAAAGGCUCACCAAGGCAGCGAUCAGUAGCUGUUCUGAGAGGAUGACCAGCCACACUGGGACUGAGACACGGCCCAGAGCACUACGGGAGGCAGGAGUGGGGAAUUACCCGGCAUGGGCGAAAGCCUGACGGAGCAAUACCGAGUGAGAGAAGAAGGCACUUGGGUUGUAAACCUCUUUUCGUAGGGAAGAACAAAAUGACGGUACCUAAGGAAUCAGCAUCGGCUAACUCCGUG